CAUUUUACUCAGGAGCAAGAAAAUUGUUGGGUAAACAAUCAAUAAAUUUGAUAUAUAUUCAAGACAAUAUUUUAUAUGUAGGCGGUACAUCUGUAGAUGGAACAGCAGGAAAGGUAUUCUUUCUAUCAAGCAGAACUGUAAUAGGAUCAUUACAUACGGGAUUCGAUAUACAGUUCUUGGCUGUGAAUAAUGAUUUUAUAUUUGGAGCCACAAAAAAUUGGAUACAUGAUCAAGACAAAAAAAUGGGAUAAUUGAGGUGUGGUUGAAAGAAAGGUUGACAUGAGUUGCUUCCAUCAAGAAUGCCAAAAUCACAUCCCUGGCCUCAGAUCCUGAUGGAGAAAUGCUCUUUGCCUGUUCUUCUGAUGGAAGAGUCCAGACUUGGGAUUUAGAUUGAAGAUAACUGAGAAGAUAGAAGAUAGAUGACUCGGCGUGGAUUUGGACUUGGUUAAAUGGCUAAACCCAUUAUCUAGCUAAACAUGUUCCUCUAAAGUUAACCUAGGUGUUCCUACUUGUAGAGUUGUAGUAAAUAAUCUACAAUGCAUGCCCUGUGUAUAUGGGUAACAAUCGUGAAUUUUGACCUAUUUGACAAUGUUUGACUUUCGUUGACUAUGUGAUUAAUUGUAACACUCAUGGUGAUGGAUCCGUUAACUUUCGUUAAUUAUGCAUGUAACAUUUGCCUUUUCUUUUCG